CGGUGUUAGCAUAAGUGAAGAAGAAGUUUAAACAAACGGAAUUGGCCCUACAAGAAGAGCAGCAAUCACGCAACAAAAUGAACUCUCUUUCCACCGAUCCUUGUAUUGCCAAACAUAUCCUUGCUUUAUCCGGGUAAGAAUUUUAAAACCUUUUUUUCCCCAAAAAAACUUCAAUAGACAUGGGAAAUUUCAAGUAUUCAUAUUAGGUUUUUGGGUUGUUUAAAAGAUUGGGAUUUUUUGAAAACUUGAAUGCGAAUUAACCUGUGGGAAAGUUGGAAAUUUUCCUAAUCGAUUGGUAUAGAUGACUUUUCUUGGUUAGGUGGUUUGGUGCAAGUCUUUUUAUUUUAAUCAAUUAUCCGGAUUGAAUUCUUUGUCAGCUUAGUUUGAAUUAGCUCUAAGUUCAUGUAAGAAGCACGACGAACAUGGAAUUGUAUGGAGUCCUUACUCUUGGGACGCUAUUGGAAAACUACCUCCAUUAAAAGCCUGCUGUUUUUACUUCUGUAGGAGUUUAUGAUUCUAUGUUAAGUAGAGACAUUGGAAGAAGGAACUAGCUCCAGUGCAGAAAAUGUUCCUGCUCAGUACCACGAAGGAUAUAUCAAAGCUCGGUCAUGGGCCUAUAGUUCAUUGGAUCUGUACAAGGUAAUGAGUAUGUGGUUGACUAACUUCUUGUUUCUUUGAGCUCAUAAUCGCAUCUCAAGUAAUGUUUACUUAUUCUAUGUAAACAAUACCAUAUUUAAUGAUAUGUUCAAAUGGUUAGUGAAUUUGUAAUUACUACAGAAACUCUUGAAUGCUGCAGUGUUGCCAUGCACAUAUAUUUGAACUCUCAAGAUGGCUAAUUUCAAAAUAUUUAUGUUUCUUGAA